AUUGAACGCUGGCGGCGUGCUUAACACAUGCAAGUCGAACGAAGUGGCGAACGGGUGAGUAACGCGUAAUCAACCUGCCCUUCAGAGGGGGACAACAGUUGGAAACGACUGCUAAUACCGCAUACUGAAGGCGGGGAUUGCGUCUGAUUAGCUAGUUGGAGGGGAAACGGCCCACCAAGGCGAUGAUCAGUAGCCGGUCUGAGACGAGUAAUGGCCACAUUGGUACUGAGACACGGCCCAGGCUCCUACGGGAGGCAGCAGGGGGGAAUCGUCCGCAAUGGACGAAAGUCUGACGGAGCAACGCCGCGUGAGUGAUGACGGCCUUUGGGUUGUAAAUCUCUGUUAAUCGGGACGCGGUACCGGAAUAGAAAGCCACGGCUAACUACGUGCCAGCAGCCGCGGUAAUUC
rnacentral:rRNA from 1 species